rnacentral:rRNA from 1 species
AGUGAACGCUGGCGGUAGGCCUAACACAUGCAAGUCGAACGGCAGCACAGUAAGAGCUUGCUCUUACGGGUGGCGCGUGGCGGACGGGUGAGGAAUACAUCGGAAUCUACUUUUUCGUGGGGGAUAACGUAGGGAAACUUACGCUAAUACCGCAUACGACCUACGGGUGAAAGCAGGGGAUCUUCGGACCUUGCGCGAUUGAAUGAGCCGAUGUCGGAUUAGCUAGUUGGCGGGGUAAAGGCCCACCAAGGCGACGAUCCGUAGCUGGUCUGAGAGGAUGAUCAGCCACACUGGAACUGAGACACGGUCCAGACUCCUACGGGAGGCAGCAGUGGGGAAUAUUGGACAAUGGGCGCAAGCCUGAUCCAGCCAUACCGCGUGGGUGAAGAAGGCCUUCGGGUUGUAAAGCCCUUUUGUUGGGAAAGAAAAGCAGCAGGUUAAUACCCCGCUGUUCUGACGGUACCCAAAGAAUAAGCACCGGCUAACUUCGU